ensembl:lncRNA
GUAGGUGGGGUCCUUACACCUGUAGAAAAUCAUGGGGCUUAGGAUCCUGCAUAACUUCUGAGUGCAUCUUGGGUGUUCAUCUGCACUAUAAAAUAUUUAUUGUGUUUGCUUCCAGUUAUAUGUUCUCAAAAUCUUGUAUCAACUCUUAGUGUCUCAAGGGAAGAGUAACUCAAAACACAUGUGCAGUGAAUGCAGGGCAGGUUGUACAAUGCUGAUACAUGUUGAAGAGAUCUUUCAUAAUCUACUGUGGAAGAAGUUCAAAAAUAAUGAUUUGAAGCAGGGUAAUAGCUGUUACCUCUGAGACUAAAGUGAUCUUCCAUCUGGAGGACGUUUCCUGGGACAGGGACCAGUAGUCCCCUGAGGGACCGUGUUGCCAGAAGGCUGCUGGAGGAGUUGGAGUGUGGAGGAAGCAGCUGGAAAAUAAUCCAGAUGAUGAAAAGGCUGGGCUGUGCCAAGAGCUGCUGGGGCAGAAGGAACACUGCAACAGAGCUGCCAAGUGCAUUAACAGGGUAAGGCUUCUGCAAGCUGCAAGGCAUGGAGUGGUGAAAUGUGAGUCCCCCAUUGAAGAAAAAGUUCAAGACACAGCUCUCAGUGAUGUGCGCUGCCUUUUGGGAUAGGAAAGGGGUGAUUCUUCUGGAUUUCCUGGAACACAGAACAACACCAUCAAGUCUGAUCGCUACAUCACGAUGCUGACUAAGCUGAAACCUUGAACUUUCAGAAUCAGUCCAGAGAAGAAAUCUUUCUCUUGCAACAUGACAAUGCCAGGCCCCACAUCUGUUUGAAAACCACAGAGCACAUUGCCCAUCUUGUCUGGACCAUCCUAGCACAUCCACCAUGUAGUCUGGAUUUGGCACCUUCUAAUUUCCAUCUGUUUGGGCCAAUGAAAGAUGGACUGCAUGGGCAACAUUGUCCUAGCAACAAUGCCACCAUAGCAGCUGUGAAACAGUGUGUCACCUCCGCUGGUACAGAUUUUUAAUGAACACGGAAUUCAGGCUUGUGUUCAUUGCUGGCAAAAAUACAUAGCUCAUGGUGAUGGCUAUGUUGAAAAAUAUAAUUUUGUAGCUGAGAUUUUAUU